rnacentral:rRNA from 1 species
CAGGUCACUCCUACGGGAGGCAGCAGUAAGGAAUAUUGGACAAUGCCCGCAAGGGUGAUCCAGCCAUGCCGCGUGCAGGAAGAAGGACCUAUGGUUUGUAAACUGCUUUUGUACGGGAGAAAACCCCCCUUCGUGAAGGGGGCUGAUAGUACCGUAAGAAUAAGCAUCGGCUAACUUCGUGCCAGCAGCCGCGGUAAGACGAAGGAUGCAAGCGUUAUCCGGAUUCAUUGGGUUUAAAGGGAGCGUAGGUGGUCUGCUAAGUCAGUGGUGAAAUCUUCUCGCUUAACGAGAAAACUGCCAUUGAUACUGGUGGACUUGAGUACAGAUGCCGUUGGCGGAAUAUGACAUGUAGUGGUGAAAUACAUAGAGAUGUCAUAGAACACCGAUUGCGAAGGCAGCUAACGAAACUGUAACUGACACUGAGGCUCGAAAGUGCGGGGAUCAAACAGGAUUAGAUACCCUGGUAGUCCGCACUGUAAACGAUGAUUACUCGCUGCUGGGCAGCAAUGUCCAGUGGCUUAGCGAAAGCGAUAAGUAAUCCACCUGGGGAGUACGCCGGCAACGGUGAAACUUAAAGGAAUUGACG